rnacentral:rRNA from 1 species
AACCGGGCUGCAGUCGACGAUUUCGGUUGAUCCUGCCGGAGGCUACCGCUAUUGGAGUUCGAUUAAGCCAUGCGAGUAGAAAGAAAUUAGAUUCUCGGCGUACCGCUCAGUAACACGUGGGUAACCUGCCCUAUGCUGGAUAAUAACCUCGGGAAACUGAGAAUAAUGAUCCAUAGUUCACUACGCCUGGAACGGUGAGUGGAUGAAAGCUCCGGCGGCAUAGGAUGGGCCUGCGGCGUAUCAGGUUGUAGGGGGUGUAACGUACCCUCUAGCCCUCUACGCGUACGGGUGUUGGGAGACAUAGCCCGGAGAUGGAUUCUGAGACACGAAUCCAGACCCUACGGGGUGCAGCAGGCGCGAAAACUUCACACUGCAGGAAACUGUGAUGAGGGAACUCCAAGUGCACGCACUUAGUGUGUGCUUUUUUCAACUAUUAAUCGGUUGAAGAAUAAGGGCUGGGAAAGACCGGUGCCAGCCGCCGCGGUAAUACCGGCGCCUCAAGUGGUAGUCGCUUUUAUUGGGCCUAAAACGUCCGUAGCCGGUCUGAUACAUUCGUGGGUAAAUCAACCAGCUUAACUGGUUGAAUUCUGCGAGGACGGUCAGACUUGGGACCGGGAGAGGUGUGGGGUACGCUCAGGGUAGGGGUAAAAUCCUGUCAUCCUGAGCGGACCACCUGUUGCGAAGGCGCCACACUAGAACGGAUCCGACGGUCAGGGACGAAGCCUAGGGGCACGAACCGGAUUAGAUACCCGGGUAGUCCUAGGUGUAAACGCUGUGGACUUGAUGUUGGGGGUGCUCCGAGCACUCUCAGUGUCGAAGCGAAGGUGAUAAGUCCACUGCCUGGGAAGUACGGUCGCAAGGCUGAAACUUAAAGGAAUUGGCGGGGGAGCACCGCAACCUGAGGAUUGUGCGGUUUAAUUGGAUUCAACGCCGGA